CCACCUUAUCUCUCUGGAUUAUUUUUUAGCAAUAUUUUGUAUGACUUGGUUUCCCUUUUCAAUUUCACAUUGCUGCCUGACUGAAUGCAUAGAGUUAUUUUACAGUCUCCUUUGAUGCAUUUUGUUAAGGAACCCAAGAAAGGUAAAACAAUGAUAUAGAGAAGUCAGACUCAUUUAAGGAUCUUCAAAGGAAUUAAGAUAACAAUGGCGGGGCCACCAAUUAACCCAGAAUUCCCAUCAUCAGAGCAGACUGGAAAAGAUACAUGGCAUUCAUUAAUUG